CGGGCUCUUCGGAGCUAGUGGCGGACGGGUGAGUAACGCGUGAGAAUCUGGCUUCAGGUUCGGGACAACAGUUGGAAACGGCUGCUAAUACCGGAUGUGCCUAAGGGUGAAAGAUUUAUCACCUGAAGAUGAGCUCGCGUCUGAUUAGCUAGUAGGUGUGGUAAGAGCGCACCUAGGCGACGAUCAGUAGCUGGUCUGAGAGGAUGAUCAGCCACACUGGGACUGAGACACGGCCCAGACUCCUACGGGAGGCAGCAGUGGGGAAUUUUCCGCAAUGGGCGAAAGCCUGACGGAGCAGUACCGCGUGAGGGAGGAAGGCUCUUGGGUUGUAAACCUCUUUUCUCAGGGAAGAAUGAUGACGGUACCUGAGGAAUAAGCAUCGGCUAACUCCGUGCCAGCAGCCGCGGUAAUACGGAGGAUGCAAGCGUUAUCCGGAAUGAUUGGGCGUAAAGCGUCCGCAGGUGGCAAUGUAAGUCUGCUGUCAAAGCGUCUGGCUCAACCAGAUAAAGGCAGUGGAAACUACAUAGCUAGAGUAAGGUAGGGGUAGAGGGAAUUCCUGGUGUAGCGGUGAAAUGCGUAGAGAUCAGGAAGAACACCGGUGGCGAAAGCGCUCUGCUGGACCUUAACUGACACUGAGGGACGAAAGCUAGGGGAGCGAAUGGGAUUAGAUACCCCAGUAGUCCUAGCCGUA
rnacentral:rRNA from 1 species